AGAGUUUGAUCCUGGCUCAGGAUGAACGCUAGCGGCAGGCCUAAUACAUGCAAGUCGGACGGGAUAUGGUAGCUUGCUAUCAUUGAGAGUGGCGCACGGGUGCGUAACACGUAUGUAACCUACCUUAAUCAGGGGGAUAGCCUCUCGAAAGAGAGAUUAAGCCCGCAUAACAUCAUUUUUUGGCAUCGAAGAAUGAUCAA
rnacentral:rRNA from 1 species